rnacentral:rRNA from 1 species
GAUGAACGCUGGCGGCGUGCCUAAUACAUGCAAGUCGAGCGAACAGACGAGGAGCUUGCUCCUCUGACGUUAGCGGCGGACGGGUGAGUAACACGUGGAUAACCUACCUAUAAGACUGGGAUAACUUCGGGAAACCGGAGCUAAUACCGGAUAAUAUAUUGAACCGCAUGGUUCAAUAGUGAAAGACGGUUUUGCUGUCACUUAUAGAUGGAUCCGCGCCGCAUUAGCUAGUUGGUAAGGUAACGGCUUACCAAGGCAACGAUGCGUAGCCGACCUGAGAGGGUGAUCGGCCACACUGGAACUGAGACACGGUCCAGACUCCUACGGGAGGCAGCAGUAGGGAAUCUUCCGCAAUGGGCGAAAGCCUGACGGAGCAACGCCGCGUGAGUGAUGAAGGUCUUCGGAUCGUAAAGCUCUGUUAUUAGGGAAGAACAAAUGUGUAAGUAACUAUGGACGUCUUGACGGUACCUAAUCAGAAAGCCACGGCUAACUACGUG